GGAUCACUUGAGCCCAGGAGUUGGAGACCAGCUUGGGCAACAUAGCGAGACCUCAUCUCUACAAAAAAUAAAAGAAAAUAUUAGCUGAGUGUGGUGGCAUGCAAUUGUUGUCCCAGCUACUUGGGAGGCUGAAGUGGGAGAAUCGCUUAAGCCAGAAAGGUGGAGGCUGCAGUGAGCCGUGAUUAUGCCACUGCAUUCCAGGCUAGGUGGCAAAGUGAGAUCCUGUCUCAAAAAAAAGAAAAGAAAAGAAAAAAGAAAGAAGGAAGGAAAGAAGGAAGGAAGGAAGGAAAAGGAAGAAAGGAAGGAAGGAAAAAGAAAGAAAAAGGAAGGAAGGAAGGAAGGAAAGAAGAAAGGAAGAGCUCCAGUUUUGCAUGUCUGCAAAUCAAGCAAGGGCUGGCUUAUGACUUCGGUGGCAGGACACUUUGUGACUUCUGAGGCUGGGUCAUAGAAGGCAAUACAGCCUCCAUCUCUGAUGACAUUGGAACCCAGCCACCAUGCUGUGAGGAAGCCCAAGCGUCCUGUGGAGAGAUUAUGUGGGAGAGAACCAAGGCCCCCAGGCCACAGCAUUGGCUGAGCUCCCAGCCAACAGCCAGCAUCAAUUUGUGGAUAUUCUUGGAAGCAGAUAUUCCAGUCUCAAGAUGAGUUGUCCCAGCUGAUACCACAUUGAGCAGAGAUGAGCUGUUCCUGAUUGUCUAACUGUAAGCAAAAUAAAUGAUUUUCAUUAUUUUAAGCCAUUUAAGUUUUAGAGUGGUUUGUUAUGCUGCAAUAGAUAGAGAUAAUUCAUUAAUU
rnacentral:lncRNA from 1 species